rnacentral:lncRNA from 1 species
CUACUCUCCUCCCCCUCCCCCUCCCCCUCGCUCUCCCCUCCCCCUCCCUCCAUCCAUUUCUUCUCUCUCCCCUCAUUGUCGGAGCCCCCCCAGGCCGGGGAUGAAUGUCAUCAGCGGCAGGACUUCCAGCUUCCUGCUGUCAGCAGGCACAGAGAGGGCCAGGGUGGCCCUUGGUCACACAGCCACAUGGAGGGCAUCUCUGCCCCAGGCGUCAUGGCGGAGCAGAGUGGGCAGAACCUGUGGCUCAGGGGAGGUGACUGCGGCUAGAGUCCUCCGAGGUCCUCCAGGACUGGCCUGGCUGGGCAGGGUCCCGGGAACACUGGGGCCUUCUCGGCCUUGACCUUGAGGGCACCGGCCUGUCCUGCUUCGUCCUCUGCUCAGCGCGGCCGGACUCCAGCAGGGGCCCUGCCACUCGCCCAUCCCACCCUCACGGCGGGUCUCCCCUGCUGCCCUGGGCCGGCUGCCUCCGUUACAGAUGGCAGAACUGGGGUCCGCAGCCCGGGGCUGUCAGGGGCGUGUACAGAAUAAAAGUCAAGUUCGACCUCCGACCUGG